UAUUUUUUUCCUUCCCAACUCUUAUUUGCUAAAAAAUGAUAGAUUUUUUCAUAAUCUGCAUCACUAAUAUACAUUUCUUAAUUGUUUUUUUUGCAGCUCAAUUGUAAUCAUGGCAAUAAGAGUGAGAUCGGUGCAUGAAAAAAAAGCAUUGAGAUCUCGGUUGUAAAUGGUGUAGCUCACUGUAACAACCUUACAAAGUCAAUAAGAAACGAUGGAGGAGUAAGAAGUGUAUUAGAUUCUUAUUGGUGCAUUAAAAAAAAUUGUACUAAUACAUGGUCAAAAGUUAUUAUGUUGAUGCUUCUAUGUUAAAUUUUCUUUUUUGAAUUUUUUUUUCAGUCGGCGGAUGUUUUAAAGGGAUCCACUUUCCCUUUCAUAUUUA